rnacentral:rRNA from 1 species
ACGGGAGGCAGCAGUGAGGAAUAUUGGUCAAUGGGCGGAAGCCUGAACCAGCCAAGUCGCGUGAAGGAUGAAGGUAUUAUGUAUUGUAAACUUCUUUAGCAGUGGAGUAAUAAGGAGGUCGAGACCUCCGAUGCAAGUACACUGAGAAUAAGGAUCGGCUAACUCCGUGCCAGCAGCCGCGGUAAUACGGAGGAUCCGAGCGUUAUCCGGAUUUAUUGGGUUUAAAGGGUGCGCAGGCGGGCUGGUAAGUCAGCGGUGAAAUGUCGGGGCUCAACCCCGGCAGUGCCGUUGAUACUGUCGGUCUUGAGUGCGGUGAAGGCAGGCGGAAUGCAGUGUGUAGCGGUGAAAUGCGUAGAUAUGCUGCAGAACUCCGAUAGCGAAGGCAGCUUGCCGUACCUGCACUGACGCUCAUGCACGAAAGCGUGGGGAUCAAACAGGAUUAGAUACCCUGGUA